rnacentral:rRNA from 1 species
GUGACCUGCGGAAGGAUCAUUAAUGAAUUUUAUGGCGGAAUUGUAGCUGGCCCCAACCGGGCAUGUGCACAUUCUGUUCAUUCCAUUCUCAUACACCUCUGUGCACUUUACAUAGGUUUGGUAUAGAAAAGGUCUUUAUUGACUUUGGAAAUACUGACCUAUGCUUUUAUAAACGCUUCAGUUUUAGAAUGUCAUCCGCGUAUAACGCAAUAAAUACAACUUUCAGCAACGGAUCUCUUGGCUCUCGCAUCGAUGAAGAACGCAGCGAAAUGCGAUAAGUAAUGUGAAUUGCAGAAUUCAGUGAAUCAUCGAAUCUUUGAACGCAUCUUGCGCCCUUUGGUAUUCCGAAGGGCAUGCCUGUUUGAGUGUCAUGGUAUUCUCAAUACCCCAAAUCUUUGCGGAUAAGGGUGUGUUGGACUUGGAGGUUUUUGCAGGUAAUGAUUGUAUUACCAGCUCCUCUUAAAUGCAUUAGCAGAGAUAAUACUGCUACUCUCCAGUGUGAUAAUUGUCUACACUGUUAGUAGUGCGGUAUAACAAAAUGUCUAUGCUUCUAAUCGUCUUCGGACAACUUUUGACAAUCUGACCUCAAAUCAGGUAGGACUACCCGCUGAACUUAAGCAUAUCAAUAAGCGGAGGAAAAGAAACUAACAAGGAUUCCCCUAGUAACUGCGAGUGAAGCGGGAAA